CAGCACAGCACAGCACCGCACAUCUCCAGUCGGACUGGCUACAUUUCAAGGGCUCAACCAUCACGCGUUACCAGUGGCUACUGCAUCAGACUGUGCAGUGCUAGAUGGGGAGUCAGAAGAGAAACCAAGUGAUUUCCAUGUCAAGUGGUGAACAGGCUAAGAAGAAAAGUAAAUUGGGGAAAGAGCAUGGGGAAUGUGGGGGUUGCUGUUUGAAAGAGGAUGGUUGGGAAGGCUGAAGAGCUGUCAUUCGCAGAGGGACCCAAAAGAGGCUACUCCGAGUGAAGAUGAUGAAGAUGAAGACCGUUAUGAUCCACUUCCACUUAAUGAAAGAUGAAUAUAUUUUCUCUUCC
rnacentral:lncRNA from 10 species